GAUGAACGCUGGCGGCGUGUUAACACAUGCAAGUCGAACGAAGCACUUUAUUUGAUUUCCUUCGGGACUGAUUAUUUUGUGACUGAGUGGCGGACGGGUGAGUAACGCGUGGGUAACCUGCCUUGUACAGGGGGAUAACAGUUGGAAACGGCUGCUAAUACCGCAUAAGCGCACAGCAUCGCAUGAUGCAGUGUGAAAAACUCCGGUGGUAUAAGAUGGACCCGCGUUGGAUUAGCUAGUUGGUGAGGUAACGGCCCACCAAGGCGACGAUCCAUAGCCGACCUGAUAGGGUGACCGGCCACAUUGGGACUGAGACACGGCCCAAACUCCUACGGGAGGCAGCAGUGGGGAAUAUUGCACAAUGGGCGAAAGCCUGAUGCAGCGACGCCGCGUGAGCGAAGAAGUAUUUCGGUAUGUAAAGCUCUAUCAGCAGGGAAGAUAAUGACGUUACCUGACUAAGAAGCACCGGCUAAAUACGUG
rnacentral:rRNA from 1 species